AGUGAACGCUGGCGGUAGGCCUAACACAUGCAAGUCGAACAGCAGCACAGGAGAGCUUGCUCUCUGGGUGGCGAGUGGCGGACGGGUGAGGAAUACAUCGGAAUCUACUUUUUCGUGGGGGAUAACGUAGGGAAACUUACGCUAAUACCGCAUACGACCUACGGGUGAAAGCAGGGGAUCUUCGGACCUUGCGCGAUUGAAUGAGCCGAUGUCGGAUUAGCUAGUUGGCGGGGUAAAGGCCCACCAAGGCGACGAUCCGUAGCUGGUCUGAGGGGACGGUCGUCCAGCCUGGAACUGAGACACGUUCCAGACUCCUACGGGAGGCAGCAGUGGGGAAUAUUGGACAAUGGGCGCAAGCCUGAUCCAGCCAUACCGCGUGGGUGAAGAAGGCCUUCGGGUUGUAAAGCCCUUUUGUUGGGAAAGAAAUCCAGCUGGUUAAUACCCGGUUGGGAUGACGGUACCCAAAGAAUAAGCACCGGCUAACUUCGUGCCAGCCGCCGCCGUAA
rnacentral:rRNA from 1 species